rnacentral:rRNA from 1 species
AACUUAAAGGAAGUUGACGGGGCCCGCACAAGCAGCGGAGCGUGUGGUUUAAUUCGAUGAUACGCGAAGAACCUUACCUGGUCUUGACAUGCACGUGGUACUGAUUCGAAAGAUGAGGGACCCUUCGGGGAGCGUGCACAGGUGUUGCACGGCCGUCGUCAGCUCGUGCCGUGAGGUGUUGGGUUAAGUCUCGCAACGAGCGCAACCCCCGUCGCCAGUUGUAUUUUUCUGGCGAGACUGCCGGGAAAUCCCCGGAGGAAGGAGGGGAUGAUGUCAGGUCAGCGUGGCCCUUACGACCAGGGCUACACACACGCUACAAUGGGUGGUACAGAGGGUCGCGAAGCCGCGAGGUGGAGCUAAUCCCACAAAGCCAUCCUCAGUUCGGAUUGCAGGCUGAAACUCGCCUGCAUGAAGCCGGAGUUGCUAGUAACCGCAGGUCAGCACUACUGCGGUGAAUACGUUCCCGGGCCUU